AUUUGAAUUCAGAUACAGUUGUAGAAAGAAAAGGAAGAAUUUAAACAAAUUUUUAAUUAAUUAAGUUAUUUUCCAAAGCCCUGAUGUACUUUGCAGCUAGAACGCAGCGAUCCCCCGAUUCUGAUGACUAUGCGAAGGCCAGAGGGGUUGGCAGAUACUUUGGUAAAUAAUCUAUUAAUGAUGGCCUUGAAUGCCUAUUGCUGCCUUCAUAGGGCUCAAACAUUGCGUAAGCCGUCAGCGCUGCUUGGCGCCAAGCGACAUAGUGCGGCCUAUACGGCCGCUAGCAUUGUAGGUUCCAUGCCACUUGGUGUUUUCAGAGUCGGCCUUUUGUCAAUGUCCUUCACUCGGAGGCCCUCACUAUCGUAAACACUUUACUUGUCACUCAAAUGGUGCGACCUGAUACAUUAAGCGCCACCCUAUGCAAAUAAAAACACUGCGUUCCCUAGCAUAAAUCGCGAGGGCCAAGAGAAACGCCUUCUUUUUGUCUUUUAAAGACUCCUCACUGUUUAUACAAAUUCACGUAAGGAUAAGAACUAUUUAGGAGACUGAAACCUGAUUGUUAUUUGUUUUUAUUUUAUUUAUUUAUGAUUACUAUAUUUCCUUGUACACGGGGAUUUCUCAUAAGCUGACAUAAAAAACAUUCAGAACAAUUCACUUACAAUCUUUAUUUUUUCUUCUGGCUGCUUUUCAUAAUAUAAUUAAUAAUUAUUAAAUAAAUUGUCGACCGGUUUAGCGCUGGUCCACGCUAAAUGCGUCGGUUUGUUGUAUUUAAUUUGUUUGAGGCGAGGGUGGGCCCAUUAGUCUAUUCUUUCCUUGUAGAAUUUCUCGGUGGAAGCGAGGGGUUUCCCUUCGGCUCCUUUUUGUUAUGUUAUUUACAAAGUGUUAAACGUUUUAUUUCUUUCACUUUACGUUCUUCAUCACAUGUAAAAUAUGCAUAUUCUGUACGACAGAAUUUCUGCAAGUUUCUUAGAUGAAUCGAAACAGUGCGUCAGCGACGAACGCACUCUUAACGAACUUUUUUGUUUGUUUUGUAAGGCACUACAGGCACGGUUGAAUCUGAG
rnacentral:lncRNA from 1 species